rnacentral:rRNA from 1 species
UACGGAGGGUGCUAGCGUUGUUCGGAAUUACUGGGCGUAAAGCGCGCGUAGGCGGCUUUGUAAGUUAGAGGUGAAAGCCCGGGGCUCAACCCCGGAACUGCCUUUAAGACUGCAUCGCUUGAAUCCAGGAGAGGUGAGUGGAAUUCCGAGUGUAGAGGUGAAAUUCGUAGAUAUUCGGAAGAACACCAGUGGCGAAGGCGGCUCACUGGACUGGUAUUGACGCUGAGGUGCGAAAGCGUGGGGAGCAAACAGG